CAGGCUUUAGGCAACCCACCUACUGAUGCUCCGUGGCCAUUAUCCAAUUAUAAGUGCUUUUUGCUCAGAAGAAUUCCGUCGUUACUGCCUUUAAUGUGUCGGAUGGUCACCAGAACGGAGCACAGGUAAGGGAGCAGACCCCGCUGCGGUCUGCGGCAGAAGCACCAGGGAUCGUCUCCUCCUCUUGCCCGUCUCUGUGGAAGCUCUUUGCAGCGCUGCUUGCAUUUUGUCAUUUGCAAUAAUGCUUUGUCAUUUCAGAGGUGACCGGGGCGCGCCGGGGCCCCGGCCUCUUCCCUCUUCUGCCUUGUCCAGCUGAUCGCUAUCAGCCAGAGGUGGGGCGUCCUGUUUAUGUCCCCGAGCAGGACUGGGAGUGCUGGCCCGUCCCACCGGCACCGCCGCCGUCCCCGCUCCCUGGAGCGCUGCCGCCGGGGCCGCUCCGAGCAGCGCCGGGCCCGCGCUGAUUGUCCGCAGUGCAUUGUAUUUACAGGGCCUUUCGGGGUUUCUGCCGGUCACCCGCCGCCACCGGGGAAAUAUUUUUAUUCCCCCUCUGCCGCGUAACUUGGCUUCUGUUUUCUUGUUGUUGUUUUUUUCCUCCUGCCUUUGUAGAUGUUGGCUGCGGCCAGGGCCAAGUCACGGGGCAGGCAGGAUGUGCUGCAUCUGCGGAGGUACAGGCAUGCGAAUAAAUGACACGGAUUUCUGCAGCUUCGCCGGGCUCUGGCAGGUGUUACUCAGAUAAAGCCCAAGCAGAGAUUAUGCAGCAGAUUUGACCACACAGAGGCUUCACAAAUUCUUGAGGUCCAGAUGCAAGUUGCACCUGAUACAAAUGAAGGAAAGCUCUGAUGAACAGCAGAGACAGAGAGCAAACAUAUUUUUUAAAUGUAUACACCUUGAGUGUAUUUCCCAGCAUUUGAGCCUUGCUGAGGCAUCACUGCCUUCCCUUGGAGCAAUACAAGCCAUUCGUGAAGUUUCUGUGCUGAACUGUGGGAAUAGAGAGGCAAGAAGCUGUGACCCCUGGGUAAGAACAUGCUUUGGAAACACCAUCAUCAAAAAAUGAACACAUCAGCCCAGAAGGCCCACAGACAGCUGAUCCUCUCCAGCCUUAUCAGAGAGAGAGCUCCUGUGGAUGCUGAGGCAGCAGCCACCGGACAUUUUUGAGAUGUUUAUUCUAUCCUGUGUUGAUAUGAAGUCAAUACGAUAACUAAAAAUAAAGAUUAAAAAAAAAGUACACAGCAGCUAUUUGUUCCUGAAUUGUUAUGUUUACCCAUACCAGCCCAGAUUUCCAUUUAGGCAGGCCUGUAGUCCCAGAUGUUCAGUCAUUUUCAGCAACACGGUCAUAUCCCAGAAGAUUUAGCCUGCUGGAGCAACUAUAUUAAACAUGCCUGUAAUUUUCCACUGUAACUGGAAGAUUGCAUUCCUCAGAGGUGAGCAAUCACUGACUGGACAGGCCCCGUGCACAUGUAGGCAGCACAGCUCUGAGUCCUCUGCAGCCUCUCACCAGGGCAGGAGGGCACAGCACUUCUGUAGCCCAACAAGGCUUGAUCUGGGAUGAGGAGGCUCCCAUCAGCAGCACUCCCUAGGAGAGGUGGCCAUGCAGCUGGACAUCCCUGGCCAGUUGCUGCUGCAGGGAUGGAUGUUGCUGGGCCUGAAGGUGGCUUCUCUGCUGGCCCUCCUGGCACUCAGAGCUGUAGGCUUUUUGCAUCACCUCUGUUGAGGUGAUCCAAAGAGAAAAAUGGCCUUUAACUGAAUAAAAACAGAUGUUUCACCCAAUCACCUCCUGCUUCCUG